UUCCGGUUGAUCCUGCCGGACCCGACUGCUAUCAGAGUGGGACUAAGCCAUGCGAGUUAACGUAGCAAUACGUGGCACACGGCUCAGUAACACGUGGUCAACAUACCCAGAGGACGUGGAUAACCUCGGGAAACUGAGGAUAAACCGCGAUAGACCAUAAUGUCUGGAAUGAUUUAUGGUUCAAAUCUAUAUGGCCUCUGGAUUGGACUGCGACCGAUCAGGCUGUUGGUGAGGUAAUGGCCCACCAAACCUGUAACCGGUACGGGCUCUGAGAGGAGGAGCCCGGAGAUGGGUACUGAGAAAAGGACCCAGGCCCUAUGGGGCGCAGCAGGCGCGAAACCUCUGCAAUAGGCGAAAGCCUGACAGGGUUAUUCUGAGUGACUUUCGCUAAGAAAGUCUUUUGACAUCUCUAAAAAUGGUGUAGAAUAAGGGGUGGGCAAGUCUGGUGUCAGCCGCCGCGGUAAUACC
rnacentral:rRNA from 1 species